rnacentral:rRNA from 1 species
CAAUAGCGUAUAUUAAAGUUGUUGCGAUAAAAAAGCUCGUAGUUGGAUUUCUACCGAAGAUAGCCGGUCGGGUCUUCGACCUUGUAUCUGGUUUUGUCUUUGGUAUCCUCAUAGGGAACGUUUCUGCGCUUUAUUGCGUGGUGCGGUAUCUAUGACUUUUACUUUGAGGAAAUUAGAGUGUUCACGGCAGGCAAACGCCUUGAAUAUAUUAGCAUGGAAUAAUAACAUAGGAUCUUCGUCCUAUUUUGUUGGUUUCUAGGGCUAAGAUAAUGAUUAAUAGGGAUAAUUGGGGGCAUCUGUAUCAACGCGUCAGAGGUGGAAUUCUUGGAUUGCGUUGCGACAAACUACUGCGAAAGCAUUUGCCAAGGAUGUUUUCAUUGA